rnacentral:rRNA from 1 species
GUGGCGAACGGGUGAGUAACACGUGGGCAAUCUGCCCUUCACUCUGGGACAAGCCCUGGAAACGGGGUCUAAUACCGGAUAACACUCUGUCCCGCAUGGGACGGGGUUAAAAGCUCCGGCGGUGAAGGAUGAGCCCGCGGCCUAUCAGCUUGUUGGUGGGGUAAUGGCCUACCAAGGCGACGACGGGUAGCCGGCCUGAGAGGGCGACCGGCCACACUGGGACUGAGACACGGCCCAGACUCCUACGGGAGGCAGCAGUGGGGAAUAUUGCACAAUGGGCGAAAGCCUGAUGCAGCGACGCCGCGUGAGGGAUGACGGCCUUCGGGUUGUAAACCUCUUUCAGCAGGGAAGAAGCGAAAGUGACGGUACCUGCAGAAGAAGCGCCGGCUAACUACGUGCCAGCAGCCGCGGUAAUACGUAGGGCGCAAGCGUUGUCCGGAAUUAUUGGGCGUAAAGAGCUCGUAGGCGGCUUGUCACGUCGGAUGUGAAAGCCCGGGGCUUAACCCCGGGUCUGCAUUCGAUACGGGCUAGCUAGAGUGUGGUAGGGGAGAUCGGAAUUCCUGGUGUAGCGGUGAAAUGCGCAGAUAUCAGGAGGAACACCGGUGGCGAAGGCGGAUCUCUGGGCCAUUACUGACGCUGAGGAGCGAAAGCGUGGGGAGCGAACAGGAUUAGAUACCCUGGUAGUCCACGCCGUAAACGUUGGGAACUAGGUGUUGGCGACAUUCCACGUCGUCGGUGCCGCAGCUAACG